AGAGUUUGAUCCUGGCUCAGGAUGAACGCUGGCGGCGUGCUUAACACAUGCAAGUCGAACGAAGCGCUUAAGAACGAUUCUUCGGAUGAAGUCUUUUGUGACUGAGUGGCGGACGGGUGAGUAACGCGUGGGUAACCUGCCUCACACAGGGGGAUAACAGUUGGAAACGACCGCUAAUACCGCAUAACCCGCUGGUAUCGCAUGAUACUGACGGAAAAGAUUUAUCGGUGUGAGAUGGACCCGCGUCUGAUUAGCCAGUUGGCAGGGUAACGGCCUACCAAAGCGACGAUCAGUAGCCGGCCUGAGAGGGUGAACGGCCACAUUGGGACUGAGACACGGCCCAAACUCCUACGGGAGGCAGCAGUGGGGAAUAUUGCACAAUGGGGGAAACCCUGAUGCAGCGACGCCGCGUGAGUGAAGAAGUAUUUCGGUAUGUAAAGCUCUAUCAGCAGGGAAGAAAAUGACGGUACCUGACCAAGAAGCCCCGGCUAACUACGU
rnacentral:rRNA from 1 species